rnacentral:lncRNA from 1 species
AAGGAUCUCCUCUAGCCACCUUCCAUCUCACACUUACCAUUCUCUCAUUUUCCACCAUCAGUUUCUCACUCCUCCACCGUAACUUCCAUUCACCAAUCCACCUUUGCCGCGUGGCCUGAGUCAGCCACACGUUCCUGACCACCUUCAUCAGUAUGAAAACUCUUCACGCUUCAUUUCACGCCCAACCCUAGCAUCUCUUCGAGAGCGUCUUCAGCCAGCCACCCUAGCCUCCUCACGGAUCCGCCACCGUAUGUCAUUUCUCAAAGAAACACUCAUCAGAUUCACCUUCUCCUAGCUUUUCCUCACCUUUUGACCGAUUGAUUUUAUCUUUUCCUUCCAUCUCCCGAUUAAAAGCCUAUUUGUAACCUUUACACCGAUUAAAACAUUGAUUCCUGCCAUUUCACUGAUUCAAUCGGUGAAUCUUUCUGUUUCACCGAUUAAAAUCUCACCAACCACCCUAAACCCUAGGUUCUCUCCGAUUCCGGUCUUCCGCUGCGUCUAUGGUCCGGUUCUUCAAUCGAUCCGUUCCUAUUUCUUUAGCUCGUCGCCGAUCUGCCUCAAAGUCGAACUCAUCAUGUGGUAUUCAGAGCAUUGGUUCGAGCUAUGUCCGCUUGAGCUAAGUAUCACUCUCCUUUGAUUCGCGUCUCUGAUAUGAUUUUUGGUAUCUUGUUUCUUUGAUUUACGAGUUGUUAAUUCUGUCUUGUUAUGAGUUUCAAUCUUGUAUGGAUUCAAUUCGUUCAUUGGUUGUUUUCCAUUUUUUGCGUUGUCAAUUUGUUCGAAUCAUUUGUCUCAGUUUCAUUUGGUUUUGAGUUGAAUUGUUUCGCAUUUAUUUUUGUUUAAACUUCCGUGUUGUUCAAUUUUUUUUCCUUAAAUGUCUUGUGUUGAUUUCACAUUUGUUGAGUUUAUUUUCUCUGAUUGAGAUUCACUCUUCGAAUUUUCUUGUUCUGCGUAUAGGUUUCAAUAUUGUGUAUGAGUGCUUGUCUAUGCCUUUGCGUCUUUGAUUGAGUUUUACUUUCAUUUUAUUCGGUCAAAAUUUGUGUUUGAGUCAUUUUAAUUUGAGCAUCCAUUUCUGUCGUGUGCUGUCAUGUGUAAUUGCUUCAUUUGUCUCAUGAAUUCUGUUUUUUUUUUUAAAACCGUGUGAUUCUGCAACUGUUAAAAUUGAAUGAAUUCAACAUUCUCUNCACAAUCAAAAGAGCAAUGAUCUAAGGAGCUCAAGUGCAUGAUUCGUGUUGAUCAUUCCAGAUUUGUGAUUGAAUCCAGUGCAGAUUUGUGAAUUCUGUUUCGUUGUUAUUAUUUGCUUUGAUUAACAAUUCUUGAUUCUGUGUUUGAAUAAUUCAUAUUGAGCUAAUACUUGAUGCACAUCAUAUAAGCACUGAAUUGCUUAUGCAAUUGGCUUGGUAGUCUCACUGUAAAGUUCAAUGUGCUUUCAAAGUUGCAGUUGACCGAUCUGCACAUUCAUUGUUGAGUCAUGUCUUUUGUGUUUUAAUUCUGGUUUUAGCACAUAGAUCUUUGCUAGCCAUCCAUUACUUUUUUAGCCACUUUGUGCAUAUUUUAAUUGUUAUUUUUAAGCCAAAUUCACUGUCCAAGGUCUGUUUGAAUCUCUGCUUCAAAAUUGGAUAUUAGAGAUGCUUGUUGUGAUUUGCACAUGAACUGACUCUGUCAAAUUGUUAUAAGUGGAAUCUGCCAAGACAAACCAGUCAGGCACGUCUAUAAUCAUCCACUAAACAUGUUUGUGCAAGUCUGAUUUGAAUAUACCUUGUUCUGUGCAUUUUUCACUGUUCAAUUCCUCCAAUUUUGAGCAUCUUUUGUUGGUUUUAAAUCAGUUGCUGCAUGAUGGGUGUCACGGCCCAUACAAAUUUGAUUGCAUAUGAGAAAUGCAGUAUAGCUAGGGAAUGACCACUAGGUCGUCUCCCAAGGACCAACUGCGGUUCAAAAUCAAGUCAAACACGAAGGUGGGGGGGGGUUGUGAAAGGUUUGCGUGGCGAAUGCAAAAAAAUUAAAAUUAAAUUAAAUUAAAACGCAGAUGUAAAAACGUAAUUAAAUUCAAUUAAAACGAAAUUAAAUGCAACAACACAUUUCACCAUGCAUGAAAAUGAAAUUAAAAUAGUAAAAACGAAACUGCUACAGUAAAUACGAAAAUUCAUGCUAGAACUGGACAACUCUGACCUUUGCUCAAUGUUUUAUCCAUAACGUUUUCUACAGAGCUCUAAAUGAGAUGAGGUUUUUUUUGCUGGAAAGUAGACUCAAUUAUCUUUCAUGUGAUAUAUAAAACGUAGCAUUUGGACCUCUGGUAUGAUUGCAGUUAUAUUUCUAAAAUCGAGUCCAGAGAGUGAAAAUGCUAAACCAAAUACUAGACUAAACAAAUAUCUAAACACAGUUAAAUUAAAUUAAAUGCAAAACUAAAUUAGAGAAACUAAAAAGCAACUAAUCUUACUAUGCAAAUUAAUUCAAAACAAAAGAAAUUAACAAAUAUGCUUUUUAACAAAAGAAAUUAACAAACAUGUUUUUUCUUCUAUCAUUCACUUGGCCAAGUGGUCUUUCUCCAAGAAAGCAAAUUGCAUAAACCUUUUUCACAUGGCUGCGCCAAUUCAUGCUUCAAAAAUGAAUUUAAAUUCUCCUCUCCAUUGGAUUUAGGUCUACCUUGUCCCAAGUAAAAGCCACGUGCACUCCCAAAAUUAAAUCAACCUUCCCAAUUGCUAAAAGCUAAAUUGGAUAAAUUCUUUCUUCCAAAAAAAAUAGUGACUGUGACACACUUGUACCUAUGCUUCAUCUUCCAAAAUAAAUGCUUCUCACAAUUGAAAAUCCCAAAAAAAAAAAAUGCUUCCAGCCGUGACACUCUCCAACUAACGUGAAUGUUCAUUUGUUCCAAAGGAAGUCAACGUGCUUUCAACAAUUUCCAACACCAAAGACAAUUCAUCCAAGCUUCUAAUCUACCUACCAUGAUGUGACAAUGCUUCUAUUAAAUAAAAUAAAAUGGAAACAUUCUCUCCCCAUCAAUCACCGUGAAUUUUGCUUCCAACAAGAAAGUAAGCUUGUAAAAAAAAAGAAUUGGUUCCAUGUAAUCCUCUCCCCAAAACCGUGGCACAUGAGGUAAGCAACAUUCUUCAUUGAAAGUAAACAUUCUUCCAACCGAGACUUCCUUUCACAAAAUCCCAUUUCAUUCUCUUCCUUCAAAAACAAUGACCAUGAGCUUUAUCCCAAUCAAUGGACCCACACUCACCUAAUUUACUUUUCAAUUCAUAAAAACUAAACAAAAGACUACUACCUUCAUUUUAGGAACCGUGACAUUGUUGCACCACAUGCUCAAAUCUCAAAAUAAAAGAAAAGAAAAGCUAGCUACAAUGUCCCAUCAUCACAAGCUACAACCUUUUCCAGUGCAAAAAGCUAAAUCUUAUUUUUUUUCAUUCAAUGACAACAUAAAGGUAAGGUUUUAGCUCACAAAGGAAAGAAACAAUUCUAAAACUCAAUAAAAAGAAAACCAAUAGCGUGUGAUGGUUGCAGCACUUCCAACACCAUGAGCUUCUCGAAAUUCUUCAACCAUAAUCCAUGUAAAGUGUGGUGCCCAUUUUUUUCUCCAAAGAAAAUUGCCGAGAGUAUGUGUUCAGAGAGAAUAAAUGAGGGCUGGACACACCAUUCCUAGGACCGUGAGUUCCUUAAAAUAUAGGGUGGGGUCCACCCAAAAACCCUAGGGUAGGACAUGUGUCACCAAAAUUUGGGUUCCAACAUAUUUUUAAUGGCCCAAUGUGCAAAGGUUGUCUAAAAAAACUAGACUUUUAAAUUACACAUUGAUUAAUUCCAAACCACUAAAUUAAAAUAUAACUAAUUCUAAAUUUUCCAUGCAGAGAGUCUUGAAUUUAUUUGUUGUCCUCCAAAUGUCCCAAAUUGUGUUUUCAAAAUUUUCCCUGAAAAUAAUAAUGCAAAUAAUUAGCUCAGAAAAUUCAAAUUAAUUAAAAUUGGAAUUUCCGGUCAAAUUAAGCAUAAUUAGGAAAACGGGAAAAUACCGGACAAUUAAGCACAAUUCCCUGAUUAAUUCUAGCACAAUAAACUAAGUGAAAUCAAUAAAAUAUCGACUCAUCACUGCAGCAGAGUUUUGUUUGUGUUUAUUAAAACUGAAAUGGUGCAUUGCUUACGGGUUACAGCAAAAGCUUAGGUCCAUAUCACAGAACUGAAACAUUCAAAAGAAUUUGGAAUUCAAUUAAAAGGCUAAAUGGACAGUGUAACCAAUUUUCCUAAAACUAAAUUACCAAAGUCAGAAAUCCUGCACCAAAACUGAAUUGUCAUAGUGACAUUUUCACAAACACUUUCUCACUUCUGCAUAACACAUCUGAUUUGAAUUUCUUUUUGACUUGUGAAUGUUUUCUUGCUUUAUUCAUUUAUUCUAGUACCAAUCAUAGGUUCUGUUUGAGUGCCUCCCUUCUAAAUAGCCUUUUUUUAUUUGCUUGUCUUGUUGGCUAUCAUUCAUUGCCUUGUUCCUAAAUUCUUUUGAGUGGUUGAUCCAUGCUGUUUAUUCCAUCACCUUGUUUAGCCUACCAAUUUUUAUGAAUUGAGAAAUCUGAUGCUAUUAUGGAUUAUUGAAAAGGAAAGGUAUUUGUGAAUGGUAGCAUCCUAGGUGGUGGAGAUCCACAAGAUUCUUUGACUUAGACUGAAAAAAAAUUCUUCUUAAGCCUACCUCUGAGUGUGUUAGAGAGAAACCUGAGUGAUGGGAGUUUUGUAAGGCUGAUUUUAGUCUAACUUGCUUGGCAAUUUGAGAGAGAUUUUAUUGCAAUUAACUGGCUGUUUGUUCACUGUGCAGCAACAGGAAAUUGAGUGAUCACAUUUUAAACUGACAUUGCAUUCAUUUAGAUUAUAAACUAACUCUGAAAUCAUUGAGAUUGUACUGUUUUGAAUGUGAUUAUGACUUCUUGGAUUAGUUGAAUAUUGUUGCAUGCCACCUAAUUAGUUGUGUUAGUCGUGCAUGAACUGAUUUGUUUGGAAUAGUUAGACUUUAAAUCUGUUGUUUGGAUUAAAACUGAUUUCAAUUACUUUAACAGCCAUCCCUGAUUUGAAAGCUGACCAACCAGUUUAUCAUUGCAUGUUCCAUUUUGUUUCUGGGUUGGCAAAUUGGCAUAUUAUUUCUGUAUUGCAUUGGAUUGUCAGAUUUUAAAUUAGAACUGAGCAUUGCAGGGUGUAAUAAUAGAAGUUGGGAUUAGUUUAGUGGAGCAGGCCAGAAGCAACCAUCUGAACAGGGAAGUUGAUUGAUUAAAUUGAUCGUGUUAUGACUUGCACUUUGAUUAAUGUUGUAAUCUGCUGAAUUGAGUGUGAAUAUUUGAUUGCAGUUUGUACUUUGAGAGCAAAGAGAAAUUCCUUUAGCUGCAUCAAGUGUACAAGUCUAAGACCGGAUUGGACUUCUUGAUCUGAUCAAGAGAGUGAAGCAACGAAGUUGAGCACGUGAACCCUUCAUGUAGAAGAAUGGAACCAGGUCUGUAGCAGCAUCGUCAUUAUACAAGAGUAUUGAUACCAAAAACAAGUUGCGCAUGAGAUACUUGAAGGAUGGAAUAUCUUUGGGCUGGACUUUAGCAGCAAGGGACUUUAGCAACAGUGGGCCGUAGUGCAGAUUAAUUUUCUUUGUAAUUGUUUCUUUUACUUUGUUUUGUGUAAUUUGGUCUGUAAUAAGCUUCAGUUAGCCUUGGUUUUUCUCCUUUUGAUUUCAUUUUAAUUUGUAAAUGGCCUUUUAUAAAGUCCAAGUAGAUUUGGAGAGUUCUUAGUACUUUUCCAACUCUUGGCAACCUUUUCUUGAUUGUUUUCUUUUAAUUUUUAGCUUAGACUGGUGAGUGUGUCUUGUUAGCCAAAGCUACAAGCCUCACCAUAGAAUUAGAAUUUGAUGGUCUUUAGUUUGUGUUUCGUUUAGGGGUGUAGGAUAAUUAGAGUCCGUUUAGAGUCCGCAUUGUAUGUCUUUUAUUUUCUUUAAUUGUUUUUUUGUGAGUCAAGUAUACUUUGUUUUUUUUAAAAGUAAUUUUACUUUAAAGGGUUUUUAAGAACAAAGGAUGUCUAGGAUUAGUGAAUUUGAGAAGCAACAUACUCUUAGGAAAAUAAUGAAACAAAUUAGGAAUUUGGAAGAAAGCUUGAAUCAAGAUAGGUUUAAUAGGGAGGUGCAAACCUCAAUUAUCCAAAAUAAACUUAGAGUCAUGCAAGAGGAACAAAAGAAUCAGAUAAAUCAAGAGCUUUUAAGAGAACUCAUUCAAGAGGGUAGAUCAUUCAUUAAUAGUUUAAGUGGAUUUUAUUGUCAAGAGAGAGAAUAUAGAGAUAAACUCAUGAAGUUCUUGAAUGAGGUAAGUAAAAGAAACAUUGAUAGAGAACGUAGGCAACAACAAGAAAGAAUGGAAAGACAAGAGAGAAGGAAAGAGAGAAAGAGAGAAGAAGAGAGAGGAAGAGAAAGGGAGAGAAGAAGAGAGCAAGCAAGGUUAGAAGAGGAAGAAAGAAGAGAGCAACAUAGGAUAGAAGAGGAAGAAAAAGAGAGAAUAAGAAGAGAGAAAGACCAAAAGGAAGAGGAAGAAAAGAGAGAGGAGGAAGAGAGACUACAAAAGAAAGAGCAGGAAGAAAUUGAAAGGAAGAAAAGGGAAGAAAAGAAAUUGAUGACAACAUCUCCUAAUCUAGAACCCAAAAGGGGAGGUUUUCUAUCCUUUAACUUUCCUUCAAUUGAAAUUAAAUGUUCCAAAUUNUUUUGUUCUCAAAUCCAAUUUAUUAAUUUUUAUUUUCAAGUCUUAUUAUUUUAAUUCACGCGAAAGAGAAAGCCAUUCGAGUCUCUUGGGAAAACAAUACUUGGUCUUAACAUUUAUAUUACUUGUACGAUUUGGUACACUUGCAAAUUUGUCAACAAGUUUUUGGCGCCGUGGCUGGGGACUCGAGGUUUAUUUUUCUAGUAAUGUGAAUUGAUUGAAUUUGACUUGAUUUUAUGUUUAUUUUUAUUUUUGUUCUAAUAAAUGUUUUCUAGGGUUUUGUGCUUAAGUUUUGCAGAAUGCAGUUUGAUCAAGAAUUUGAUUAUAUGGGCACUCAAUUCCACCAAAAUAAUUUCAACCAUUGGUGGGAACCUCGUUCUAACAUAUAUUAAAGGCAAAUUGGGCAACAUUCCUCUUCGCGAAAAGAAACUGAUGACUUGGGCCCAAGCCUAAUUUCCUUAGUCUAGUAUUUCUUUUACUUGUAUUAGACAUGUGCACAAUGUGUUAGGCAUGUGGCACAUUUAGUCCUAUAUAUAGGCAUGCUAACAUAUCUUGUAAUCACUUUUGAGAUAAAUGAAUUGUUUUUCUGUUGAGAAUCACUCCAGAGAAAUUCUACCUUGAAAGUCAAGACUAGAGAAUCCCCAAGGAUCUCCUCUAGCCACCUUCCAUCUCACACUUACCAUUCUCUCAUUUUCCACCAUCAGUUUCUCACUCCUCCACCGUAACUUCCAUUCUCCAAUCCACCUUUGUCGCGUGGCCUGAGUCAGCCACACGUUCCUGACCACCUUCAUUAGUAUGAAAACUCUUCACGCUUCAUUUCACGCCCAACCCUAGCAUCUCUUUGAGAGCGUCUUCAGCCAGCCACCCUAGCCUCCUCACGGAUCCGCCACCGUAAGUCAUUUCUCACCAAAACACUCCUCAGAUUCACCUUCUCCUAGCUUUUCCUCACCUUUUGACCGAUUGAUUUUAUCUUUUCCUUCCAUCUCCCGAUUGAAANCCUAUUUGGAACCUUUACACCGAUUAAAACAUUGAUUCCUCCCAUUUCACUGAUUCAAUCGGUGAAUCUUUUCGUUUCACUGAUUAAAAUCUCACCAACCACG